UUAGGUGACAAUAGAAUGCACUUCAGCUGAACACGGUGGGGGCAGAGGAAUGAAUUCUCAGAGAAUCAACUGAAUGCCAACUCAACCUUCCUGCGUCUCCUCCUUUCAUAACCCACCUUAAACCUGUUAACAAACCGCUUAACCGUGUGGAGCAUAAGGAAGACAUGUUGAGAAAAUCAAAUUUUAGCAUAAAAGGGAGAAAUAGCUCCUAAUCAUCUCAGCCGAGGAUAGACUGGCCCAGAUUGGCUGGAGAUGAAUAAAAGCUUUCCUGAUGGGUUACAAAAACAUGAAUCCAGAAGAUCAGAAGAAUUAAAACGCCCCCAAGAAUAACAUGAUGGUAUUUGAAGUUGCUUCAGAGGCAAGGGAAUCUUGCGAUAAUUCUGCCGCCACGACUUGAACCGUGUGCGACGCGAGCUUGAAACAAACAUCACAUCUAAAUUUAAAAAAAA